UACGUAGGGGGGCUAGCGUUGUCCGGAAUCAUUGGGCGUAAAGAGCGUGUAGGCGGUCCGGUAAGUCCGCUGUGAAAGUCGGGGGCUCAACCCUCGAAUGCCGGUGGAUACUGUCGGGCUAGAGUGCGGAAGAGGCGAGUGGAAUCCUGGUGUAGCGGUGAAAUGCGCAGAUAUCAGGAGGAACACCUAUUGCGAAGGCAGCUCGCUGGGACGUAACUGACGCUGAGACGCGAAAGCGUGGGGAGCAAACAGG
rnacentral:rRNA from 1 species